rnacentral:rRNA from 1 species
UACGAACUGUGCGACCGUUAUUCGGAAUCACUGGGCUUAAAGGGUGCGUAGGCGGCUGCCUAAGUCAGGUGUGAAAUCUCCCGGCUCAACCGGGAAACUGCGCUUGAUACUGGGCGGCUCGAGUGAGGUAGGGGUGUGUGGAACUUCCGGUGGAGCGGUGAAAUGUGUAGAUAUCGGAAGGAACGCCAGCAGCGAAAGCGGCACACUGGGCCUUUUCUGACGCUGAGGCACGAAAGCCAGGGGAGCGAACGGG